AUCGCUUCUCAGCCUUUUGGCUAAGAUCAAGCCUCAUAUCUGUUCUUAUAGGUUUUAUAGCUGAUAUAUCCUCUAUCCGAGGACAACAUAGUAUAUGAAUUUGGGGAGCAGGGAGAUAGAAUAGGAGCUUGCUUGUCCCCUCCAUGGAUUGAGCUGGUUAAAAAAGAAGAAAGAAAAAUCAACUUCCC